GACGAACGCUGGCGGCGUGCUUAACACAUGCAAGUCGAACGGAAAGGCCCUGCUUGCAGGGUGCUCGAGUGGCGAACGGGUGAGUAACACGUGGGUGAUCUGCCCCUUACUUUGGGAUAAGCCUGGGAAACUGGGUCUAAUACUGGAUAGGACCAUGCUGUAGGUGGUGUGGUGGAAAGAUUAGUUUCGGUAAGGGAUGAGCUCGCGGCCUAUCAGCUUGUUGGUGGGGUAAUGGCCUACCAAGGCGUCGACGGGUAGCCGGCCGGAGAGGGUGGACGGCCACAUUGGGACUGAGAUACGGCCCAGACUCCUACGGGAGGCAGCAGUGGGGAAUAGUGCACAAUGGGCGCAAGCCUGAUGCAGCGACGCCGCGUGGGGGAUGACGGCCUUCGGGUUGUAAACUCCUUUCAGCCAUGACGAAGCCCUUGUGGUGACGGUAGUGGUAGAAGAAGCACCGGCUAACUACGUG
rnacentral:rRNA from 1 species